AACGAACGCUGGCGGCAUGCCUAACACAUGCAAGUCGAACGAGACCUUCGGGUCUAGUGGCGCACGGGUGCGUAACGCGUGGGAAUCUGCCCUUAGGUUCGGGAAUAAACUUCGGGAAACUGAAGCUAAUACCGGAUGAUGACGUAAGUCCAAAGAUUUAUCGCCUAAGGAUGAGCCCGCGUUGGAUUAGCUAGUUGGUGAGGUAAAGGCUCACCAAGGCGACGAUCCAUAGCUGGUCUGAGAGGAUGAUCAGCCACACUGGGACUGAGACACGGCCCAGACUCCUACGGGAGGCAGCAGUGGGAAUAUUGGGACAAUGGGCGAAAGCCUGAUCCAGCAAUGCCGCGUGAGUGAUGAAGGCCUUAGGGUUGUAAAGCUCUUUUACCCGGGAUGAUAAUGACAGUAACCGGGAGGAAUAAGCUCCGGCUAACUCCGUGCCAGCAGCCGCGGUAAAGUGAC
rnacentral:rRNA from 1 species